rnacentral:misc_RNA from 1 species
UGCGGUAACUCUAUUAAAGCCUGAAGCCCUGAACCAUUUCAACACAUCACUAGUAUUAAACAAUGCAUCAUAGUAGACAAGCAUAGACCCUUUGCAUGUUGCUUAGCCCGUUUUCAAUAAAAUAACUUGCCAAUAAACAUUAUAAAAGCCAUUAGCUUCAUUCCAAAAUCUAACAACACUACAGCUAAAGACUCUCCGGUGCUCUAAACAUUUGAAAUGACAAAUGAUCUAUUCCAGGUUGCCACAUCUUGUCAUAAGAGACAGCUGACAGCUCAAGUCAACAUACCGCAAGAUGUUCACCACACAAAAUUGAUUAGCGACCAGGAACUCGAAUGAUUGAGAAAUUUAUAACUUGUAACGCCAAGAAUCUGCAAACAAGACUGAUGGAUGACAUCGCCUGGCUGAAAAUGGCCCUUCUCUUAACUCACUAUUUCAACCAAUAUGUCCUCUUCAAAUUCCAGUCCAUGCUGAAAAAACCCAACACUGAACACACCCCCACUAUGAAGCUCAGGCGAUGAGUGGACAUGUGACUCCACCUUAAAACUCGAGCAUCUCCUCCUGUACAACACAAGGGCAAAUACAGGGGGAAAAUGAUUAUGACAUCCUCAAAGUGUCAACUACCACUACGAUUAUCGCUAUCCAUUUACGAAGAGAUCAACCCAAGUGGCUCAUAGCUCCACAGCUAUCAGUAAAUCCUCUCUGUAUGCUUUACUUGUCAUACUAAAUCAAGCAUAUCUAAAUUCUAGAUUCCCUUUACAAUCUUUUUCCUAGUCAAAAAGGCCAAAAUGAAUGAUAGGCUCAACUGCAAUCAAACAACAUACAAACUUUAAAAGCUCAAUAAAUUAAA